rnacentral:rRNA from 1 species
GAGAGGGAGGGCCGGCGACGCUUAAGAGGCUCGAGCGGGAGCGGUAAGGGGCGCGAGGUUACGUUGGGGGCUUCGGGUAGGAGGUAACUGCUGAUGGCGUGCCGGGUCUACGAGCGGAUGGGUUCGUGCAGCUGGGGCGGCACCGGCGUCGCGGUGGGCCGGCGGCGAAGGGGCGCGGCGCAGCGCCACCGCCGGAGCGGGCGCCCGCGCGGCCGGUCCCCGUUCGCCUCCGCCCGCCCGCGGCCCCUCCCCCUCCGGCUGGGCCGGCGGCUCCGGCGCCUCGACCACGCCAAGAAGGACGCGUUCUGGCUGCCGCCGUUCCUGGCCGACCACAGGCACGACCUGGCGGUGCAGUUCCACCAGGCGUGGCUCGUGACGAAGGAGGAGAAGCUCCUCGAGCCGGCGGCGCUGCCGACCCAGGUCACGGAGCUCUAAAAGUCCACCUACGUCUUCGUCGCCACCAUGCACCGACUGUUGCCGUAGAUAAGGUUCGAGUAUAGACACUACCCUUCCUUCCCCGUUUAUGCCUACCGGUACACCGAGAAGAGGGUCUACGCGUUGUCGCCCACGUUCGGCCUGUGAAGCCAUAUGUUAAGGGAAUAGCCACGCGUAGACGUAAGUGCCCUGUUCUCAUUCCGAAACCACUUUCGAGAGCCGAUAAAACUGUUCUACUUCCCGUACCUCUCUACGGUCGGCUUAUAGCACUGCAUGUUGUAGGAGAACUCCCGGACACGAGCCCGAUCGCUGUGCUUCGUCCACCUGUAGGAAAAGUUCCUAGACCUACUUUCGUAUCAGAGAGGUCUAUAGAUGUGUAUAUUACCUCACUAGCUGCCUAUACCCUUCUUACCGUACUAACGUCUCUACCUCAGACAUAACCACGCCUACUUUUCGUUCGUCACGGCAGGUCUACACUAGUGUAAGUUGUAUGAGUAUCUAAGCAUACCCGCUUUCGUCUGUAAGCUGUUCUACCUCGUCCACAAGUUCUCAAAUAACGCCAGGUUCCUCUCUGGAUGGGUGGGUUGCAAAUUAAGGUACUAUUGUUUGAUACCCUUUCGUUCCGAAUCUCUCUUUCGACUCAGACAUGAACUCUUCUACCCUCUUAACCCUAAGUUUGGCUUAAUACACUGCGUUCUCACAGAGUAGUUGUACAUACGUAUAACACUAACGCAGAGUUUCCGGGUCGUCUAUAAACUACUCGAGCAUUCGAGUGUUUCAUGACAAGGGGAUAGAAGCAACUUACGUUACGAACUACGGAUGACGUACUUGGCGAACGGAUACCUUCGUCUAGCCGACAACCUAUCACGCUAACUCUUUCCACAUCACGGGUCACGAAGGUGUAUAUUCGACGAAAUGUUCCGGAUGUGGUCCCGUUUGCUAUUCUACGAACAGGUCUUCGACGAGGUCGCUUACUUAUUCGUCCCAUAACAAGGCUUAUUUUUCAAGAAGGAACUACGAGACCUUCGUAAACCAUGGAGGCGGUUAUUUGGGUCCUCCCAUGUUUGGAGUUUGAGACGUUCUCUCAGUUCAUCUCUAAGACGUUCGUUAAACCUUUACCGAUCAGGUUCGUUCGGUCACAAUUCAUGAAACCUUCGUCAACCACGAAGGUUCUUUUGGGGGUCCUAUAAUGGUUUAAGUUUGAGACGUUCGUUCGGUCUAUGUCCAAGACUUUCGUCAAGUCUUUAUCGAUGCAGUUCGUUUGGUCUCGAUUCGAAAAGUGUUCAUCGAAGAACUAUCCCACGAGACAAGACUUGACGAAGUGUCAUCUUAAACAAGUCAACGAACAUGGUUCACUAUAGGAUCCUUUUCCGUUAGGUACACUAACCAACGAACUUAAGCUUGGUAGGAUCUACAGUCCAAUUUUAACAUCCUUAUAAAAAGAGUACAUGUAAGUGGUUUUUGUUGACUUGGUGUACCAUGACCUCUGUAGAGUAGGGUAAGUUGAAGUUCUAUGGGAAGAAGACAUACACGAAACCGUUCCCAAAAGAAGGUUUAAAGUAUCAACACAAUAUUUUAGUGUCAUCGUAGAAACAAAGUAGUCACCGGAACGAUAUGGAAGACAAUGAUCACGAACCAACACGAAGUCUCCUUGUCAUAGCGUACAAUAUUGUCAACCAAUACCUGAUCUAGUGAUAAACCUUCUUUGGGAGUAGGGUGUGUAGAGUCUUAAACCCAAAACCUUAAAUAUGAAGAGCCACGAAAUCCAUUUAAAUUACGAAAUUAAUCAGAUGAAAACAGUUGUGUACGUGACGUGUAUGUGUAACGAUCAUAGCUAAUUUUACGAAUGAAAUAAUCCUGAUACAAGAUGUUUCCUAACUGUCGUUGAUUUCUUAAAUGUGGGUUAGCAGGAUACGAAGGUUCAAGGUUCUACUUGAUCGCUUGUAAUCCCUCUGGAGUUGUGACCUAAAGUUUGUCAUACCUCGGUACACGCGAGUGGUGGAGACUCUACAGGGGGAAGUACUCUGAGGCCGAGAAAGGUGAGGUCUGAAGUCACGUCACAGUUCCAACUUCUUCCGGUCCAUCUAGAGAGGACGAGGUACCUCCUGUUUCUUAGUCGCGUUUCUUUUCCCUACGAAUAAGCGGUACAUACGUAACCGUUUCUACGUACGACGAAUCCAUUUUCAUGGAAACAGAGGUCAACGACAGGUACGAGCACGAGGUCAUCAAAGUGAGAGACAACGUAGUUUGUUCUCACGAUGAAUCUAUUUUUAUCGCUAAUUAAACACCACUGAGCAAUACCUCAUUGAAUAUGGAGGAAGGAACGACCUGAAGUAACAUCGUGUGUUAGGACUCAUCGACGAAAAUUCAACAGGUAAGAGGCAAUCGAGGGUCUGGACGUCAACCAUACCCGUUUUAUACUAAAUUCACAGGUCAAAAACCGACAGCGCUGUCCAUUUAUCGAUUCACUUAGUUCGUUGAAGUACUUUGUUUUACGAGGUUCUUUGUGACCUUAAGUCGGAGUGAGACAUACCUAGGGCAAGAGAAUGAUCCAAUGGUUACACACAAGAAGUCCAUGGACGAAACUUACGACAAGCGUCCAGCUCUUGUACCCUGACUGUCUACGUAGGUUCGUUGGUAGUAACCACAGUUAUGGGUGGUCUACCUUGAAGCGAACCAGAAGGUGUGGCGAGUACCAUUGAGGUAGGGACUUCGUGUAUUAUACACACCUAGAAUGUAUGUUCACUUUUUUGAUCAUGACGAAGGAAAGUGCUUAACAAAAGAACGCUCCGUGAAUGCUACAACCUUCUUCAAAACGAAACCUGUACGUUUUACUCCGUAACAGUAAGACCUAAGGUUUCGGAGACGUUUACACUAGAAAACUCCUUGACACGGUAGGUGGCCACAAGAAUAGCAACGUCCAUCGUUCUGGUUCUUGUCAAGGUGGUAACAAACAGUCCAGGCUCGCUGGUCUUACAAGUAACGCAAGACUUCAGGAAAGUGACACUUAUAUUGGUUUGACUUUUUUUUUAGGUGUUCAAUUGAAGGACAAGUGAGAUACAACGUCGUCCUUAGAGGUCUGAAGUUAAUUAUCAUAUAACAAAUGGAGGUACAACAAAAAUCACACCACUAAUUAGAAGUCGUCUCAUCCCACCCACUAAUCUAGCUUACAUAGUAGCAACUCUACGGAGUUCAGUGGAGGUAUGUACUCCCCCCUAAACCGGUAGCUGGUUUCGUGGUAGACGUUCCAGUACGGUCAAACGUUUUUACGACAUUCUGAAACCCAACGUUGAACCUUUUGUCUUUACUUCAAAGAAGUUCACGUUACGUUUGGACACAAUUAACGA